ACGAGUCAACUAAAGGGUGUGAUCUACUGCUAAUAGGCUGAGUGGGGACACCCAGACUCUUCCUGGCCCCUCUGAGCAGCUUCCUUUCCUUCUGGUGUGGGGCAGGACCUUCUCUGGAAUGGGGAUCUUCUGACCCACAGUCAAACAAGAAUUUGGACAGGAGAAGUCACAUCAGGGAGACCAGAGACUAGAGUAUUGCAUCAUAGAGGAAAGACACUGAUGACAAGAACUCAGGGGAGCAGUGGAACUGGAGGCCUGGGAGCUUGGGACGUGUUCUCUGGGUGAAGUUGGCCGGCCAGCUGAUGACCUACACCAGUGGCAUUCACUCCUCAUGUGUCCCCCAGGAAUUCAUAGUGUGUGUCAUCAGGUAAAAGCAACACUACUUUCAGAUAUUUUCUGAUCUCUUUGAGAUCUGGACAGCACUACUGUGUACAUAUGGCCAGCAACAAAUUACACUCAAUGAAUAUUUUAGAGAGCAGCA
rnacentral:lncRNA from 1 species